GGACAAAAAGAAGGGAGCAGUUCAGCUACUUGAAGAAACCAAAUGGUAUGUUGAGGCAAAUUAAAACCAGAGAGUCAGUUGGAGAAGCCCGAAGAGUAACCCAGGUGUCAAAAUACAGACACGUCAGGAGAAAACAAUGCCAGCCUCCUGCCAGGGAUCUAUCUUAACAAAGCAUCCAAUUAUCUUUUGGCUGCAAGACUACGUUCUGAUUCCCUAUACUUCAAACUUGGUUUCUUCUUCACCCUGGAUACUUGCAGAGCCGGGCACCACUCAUGUGAUAAUGCCAGGCUGGAUUCUCUAGAAGCAGAUGCUGGGAGGCUAUUUGGGGUACAAGGUGUUCGUUAGGAAUCAACAGCUGUGUUGGGAAGGAGAGGACACAGGAUCGCACAAAGGAAGACAUCAACAGUGCUGUAGAGAGCUCUCCAGAGGGUAGCAUUUGUCAGAGUGUUCUCCAUUGGGCUGAAACACCUGGGCAUUCAUGUUCUUCUCACUCAAUCACCAG